rnacentral:misc_RNA from 1 species
ACGGUGAAUCUUGGUCAUCAAAUCAGUGAGGUGGUCAUUCAAAACUGGAGAGCAAUCUCGCCAGAUCUCUGAGUUUCGUAUGAUAAAUCGGUGUUAAUCGUUCACCAAUCAGGUUGUCAUGGUUGAUUAGAAUGUGUACAUCAUUUUUAUUGAUUGCUAUAUGUUUAUGGGGGAAAAAGGGCGUUUUUCAACCCGAACGAUUUACAAAGUGCAUUUUUAUACCUUAA